rnacentral:lncRNA from 1 species
UUGGAUAAUCCCACUAACUCUUAGUGGGAUAUGUGGCUAUAUGAGAUAUAGACACCUAGCCCACUAAGUUUCACUAAUUGUUAGUGGAACAUUAGGUGUUGAGAUUUGGCAAAUGAAUUGCAUGCAUUUUUGCAUGUAAUUAGGUUAUAAAUAGAGGUUUUUUCAAAUGUUGAAGAACUUUUACCUCUUUUAUCAUUUUCAUCAUCUCAACAAAAGAAAAAAAAAAAAAAAAACCUUCCAAUCUCAUUUUAUCUCCAUUACUUUCUACACCAAAAUUGGGUCCCACAACUCGGUUCUUUGUCUAGAGGAUAGCAGUUGAGUACUAGUGGUGGUCUCGGUUAGAAUUCGUAAGAAGAUAUUAAACCUUUUGAAAGCUUCAAAGGUAAUAUUUCUUAAAACCCUAAUUUGAUUAGUUUAUGAUUACAUGUUAAUUGUGGUAAUUAGGGUAAAUUCGAAUUCUUUUUCCGCUGUGGGGUACUAAAUUCCCCUACAGAUUGACCUUGGGUAGGACCUUGCAUUUUGUCCUGAUUUUGCCUGCGUCGGCUGCUAGUACGUGGUGGCAUGACUCCUAUAAUAUGUCAACACAUUAGACAUACUAUAGAUACUUAACUCAAAUCCAUGAUACUAAAUGUCUACUCACAUGUUAAUCAUAACUUGACUUACUUCUACCAUUACUUACACCAUACUCCACUAGUUCCCUCUAAGCUAACUUGACUUCCAAUUUCUUUCUAAAGCUAACCGUUUUAUUUUAAUUCCCAUGGAGCAAACUGCUUUGAUAUAAGCAUAGGUUUGGAUGGACUGAUAAGACAUUGAGUAACGCUGCAUAGUUGACUUGUUAGAAAUGUAUCACCUAUAUACUUGCAUGAUUGUUUAUUUUUCUCUUAAGUUGAUGUUUUAUUUUCGUCCAUGCUGCUUGACUGUUUGAUAUUAGAUCUUUACUUUGUUUGAGACAAACAAAGCUUAAGUGGGAGCAAUUUGUUGGGCAAAUAUUGAUCGUUUAAAGAUAGUCUAUUCUCAAUCCUUAUCAUGCAUAUGUUCACUAUAUUUAUGUUUUUAUGCAGAAUAUGAAGUAGACUUCGAUACAAACACAACGACACGAUAAUCACCUAAUUCGGAGUUCAAACGAAGAAGAACGAGCAAAUUAAUCAUAAGAGGCAUUUUAGUAAAUAUUGAAAAAAGAUUGACACGUGGCAGCCCCUCACUCGCGUGCGCCCAGACUCAAGGUCACGAGUUCGACCUCACCAGACACAAUUUAAAUCCAGAUUUUCAAAGAAGAAAACGACGUCGUUUAAAGCCAUCUGAACGCGUCCAAGAGGUCACGAGAUCGACCCAGAGUAACGCACAAAAUUAAUGAUCUCAUUUGAGCCUUCAAUCCGUUUCUUCCCAUCUCAUGUCUCCGCAAAACACGUGGCAGAUUCUCCUCACGCGCGCCCCUUUAGCCACGAAGAGUUCGAAUCUUUCCCAGCGUAAAACAUUUUGAGAAAUGGCAUAGAAUGGUAUAUUGUUUUAAAAUUUUGCCAAUUUUACAAAUAUGACAAAGUUUUUCACUUCUCCAUCUUAAAUUUCAUAUUAUUCCUAAACUACUCUUCAAUAACUUAUUUUUCUUCCUUUUUUUAAUGCUCUACUUAUUAUUUAUAUAUGCUCAUACUUUUUAAGGCUCUAAUUAUUUGCUUAUUCUUAUACUAGAAAAAUUAUUUAUUCUUUAUGUCUUAGUUUUAAUUUUAAAAUAUCAAUAGUACAAUAAUUGUAAUAUGAAAUAUAAUAAAAUGGUUGUUGUUUGGAGUAAUUUAACUUCAUUUGUGAUUUUUUUUUUUUACUUUAUUCGAUGUGUAUUUUGAGUUGAAUUUGAUUCCAAAUGAUUUUGUUUUAUUUUUUCACAUUAAGAUUUUGGUUUUACUUUGUCUCAAUUUUGUAUGUCAGUAUUGUGAUAUAGUUAUAUUAUAUGUAUUAGUUGAUUAAUAUACUUACUACAUGAUUUUCAUUUUUCAAAUUUUAUACAGUUCAUUGAGUAUUAUUAAGUAUGUGAAUGAUGUAACUCAGUAUAUCAUUAUCAAGUAUAUAAACAAUAUAUUGUUAAAACAUAUCAAUAAAGUGAAUCAUUAUCAAGUAUAUGAAUCGAGUUUACAAGUGUAUAUCAAUAGUAUAUCAAGUGUAUAAGUAGGACUUCAAGCAUAUCAAAUGCAUUUAAUCAAUCAAUUGUAUAAGUGAAGAAUACUAAAUGUAUAUGCAGUGUAUCAUGUGUAUCAAACAUAUAUUAGUAUGUUUCGGUAUCGAUUGUAUCAAAGAGUAUCAAGUUCAUCAAGUGUAUCAAUCAAAUGUAUCAAGUGUAUUAAGAAGUAUCAGAUGUAUCAAGGGGUGUAUUUGGUGUAUUGGAUGUGUAUAAGGUGUAUCAAAUGUAUAUUAGUAACGAGGGCAUUUGUGACAUUUUUACCUCUUGAUGUGUGCACUGGACUUUGUUUUUUUCUUUUUCGCAAAUAAUAAAAGUGUGUGCUAUGGACUUAAUUAUUA